rnacentral:rRNA from 1 species
UCCAUGCCUUAAACGAUGCAUACUAGAAGUAGGAGGGCUCAACCCCCCCUGUUUCGAAGCUAACGCAUUAAGUAUGCCGCCUGGGGAGUACGCUCGCAAGGGUGAAACUCAAAAGAAUUGACGGGGGCCCGCACAAGCAGUGGAGCAUGUGGUUUAAUUCGAUGCAACGCGAAGAACCUUACCUGGGCUUGAAAAGCAGAGGACCGCGCCAGAAACGGCGCUUCCCGAAAGGGUCUCUGAAUAGGUGCUGCAUGGCUGUCGUCAGCUCGUGCCGUGAGGUGUUUGGUUAAGUCCAGCAACGAGCGCAACCCUUAUUGUUAGU